rnacentral:rRNA from 1 species
GACGAACGCUGGCGGCGUGCUUAACACAUGCAAGUCGAACGGAAAGGCCCUGCUUUUGUGGGGUGCUCGAGUGGCGAACGGGUGAGUAACACGUGAGUAACCUUCCCUUUACUUUGGGAUAACUUCAGGAAACUGGUGCUAAUACCUGAUAGGAGCUCCUGCUGCAUGGUGGUGGUUGGAAAGUUUCGGCGGUUGUGGAUGGACUCGCGGCUUAUCAGCUUGUUGGUGGGGUAGUGGCUUACCAAGGCUUUGACGGGUAGCCGGCCUGAGAGGGUGACCGGCCACAUUGGGACUGAGAUACGGCCCAGACUCCUACGGGAGGCAGCAGUGGGGAAUAUUGCACAAUGGGCGGAAGCCUGAUGCAGCAACGCCGCGUGCGGGAUGACGGCCUUCGGGUUGUAAACCGCUUUCGCCUGUGACGAAGCGUGAGUGACGGUAAUGGGUAAAGAAGCACCGGCUAACUACGUG